AUCACUGCAGCGAGCCAGAGCUAGUCAGACCCGGCCCAGCUGGCCCUCUGGGGCUCACCUGCGUCCUCCCCUCCUCCCUGGAAAUUCCCGGGCCAGCCCAGCAUCCCAGCGACACCUGGGCCAAGGCGGAGGAAGCCACUGAGGCCACGGAAACAUGCCUACUUUUGCCUGGAAUUCAGUCAGCUCAGCAUCGUCACUCUUGUAAACAUAUGCUCAUCAGAAGCUCUGACUGGCACUGCUGAUAUCACAGACUCUGGGCUGUGAGGAGUGGACCAGAUCCUGUCCUGGGGCCACCUGGUGGAAAUCGAGAGAGCAUCAUUUCAUGGAAACCAAGUUAGGAGACUGGCCAGCAGCAUUGGAUGAAGAAGGAGUCACAAAAUCAGGACUAAAGAGUGCUCUUUGGCGUUGGCAUUUCCAAGGUUUAUUGGUACCCUUCUGUCUAAUUGAAUAUCAAGGGAAGAGACUGAGGCAGAGAGGGAAGAAACAGAUUGAUGAAGGAGCCACAAGUGAGCCAUUGUUCGAGGCUGGGACGUGAAGAUUUUAUAAGAAAAGCCGGUGGGCUCCCAGACAAAGUUAAAAAGCUGCAAGUGUCCCCCACGAACUUCUGGAUCUCCUGUAUCCCCAGCAGACCCUCACCUCCCUGCCUCUGAGGUCAGAGGCCACCUUGAACGGGGGGUCCAAGGAAAUUAAGUAUGAAUCAAAGCUCAGCAACGUGCAUCCAUAUGGAAUUUCGGAGCCUUUAGGUCCACCGCAGAAUUUAACAAAGCUGAGAAGACCAAGAAGAAACAACACCCCAAUAGCAAUGUGCACAGCUAGAACCAAGAUCUUGGUUAGUGAACUGGGCUUCUAGAAGAAAUUGCUGACUUCAGUGCCACAGCAGGAAGUAAGCAAGAUGAGCCUGGAUCAGAAAGACUCAUCAGACUCUUGGUUUCAGCUCAGGUCACAAUCCCACGGGUUGUGAGAUCAAGCCCCACGUCAGGCACUGCAGUUAUAGCACGGAGCCUGCUUGGGAUUCUCUCUCUCCCUCUCUCUCUCUGCCCUUUCCCAGCUCUCAUCCCACUCUUUCUCUCAAAGUAAAUAAAUAAACUUUAAAAAGAAAAGGAAGAAAGUACUCAAAAAAUUAAAGAGUUUACAUUGAUUGGGGUGGGGGGAGUCAAAGAGGCACAGAAAUCAGCUGAAAGAACUUUUUCAAUGGCCAAAGCUGGUAUAAUUUAAACAACAAAAUUAAGUAGUACUGUAUUAAAACCAAAAUAGAGAAUAAAUAUUUAUGAGUCUAUACUUGUCUGAAUAAGUGAUUAAAUAAAUGUAAUUGAGAAAAGAGACAUA